CACGUAGGGGGCAAGCGUUGUCCGGAUUUAUUGGGCGUAAAGAGCUCGUAGGCGGCUCUGCACGUCCGUUGUGAAAUCGCCCGGCUCAACUGGGCGGGGUCAGCGGAUACGGCAGAGCUCGAGCAAGCUAGGGGGCAAUGGAAUUCCCGGUGUAGUGGUGGAAUGCGUAGAGAUCAUGAGGAAGACCAGUGGCGAAGGCGGGUCUCUGGACAGUUCCUGACACUGAGACACGAAGGCCAGGGGAGCAAACGGG
rnacentral:rRNA from 1 species